rfam:Zea mays cultivar B73 chromosome 1, whole genome shotgun sequence.
GUUCCAAUGAUGAUUUCAAGACCUAGCAAUAUGAAGUGUCAUUUGUCACUGUAAACAACAACUGCUUCUUUCUGCUUCAUGUGUCUAUCUCUCGAUCAUAACCAAUUUGGUCUAGGAUGCAGCCCCAUCAGUAAUUGUUGGAUUCAGUUGUGGUGUGAUUUAAAUCGUAUCUAUGAGAAU